UGACUAUAUAAGUAACAACACUUGAAAAACAGCAGGUACAAAAAAGAAUCAUUUGACCUUCAUGCUGUUUCUUAAAAGCAAAAGAUGCAAUUCCCAUGUAAAAGACAAACUCCCUGAACUAGAAGGAAAAACAACACUCUUAUCUUCAAGGACCAGGAAUUAAAGCGAAGGAAAUACCGCACAGACCUUGUUAGAUUCCUGGAUACGUGUGCAGGCUGUGCAGAUUUGUUACAUAGGUAAACAUGUGCCAUGGUGGUUUGCUGCAUCUAUCAACCUGUCACCUAGGUAUUAAGCCCAGCAUGCAUUAGCUAUUUAUCCUGAUGCUCUCCCUCCCGCCGUACCUCCUCCACCCUUCAGGCCCCAGUGUGUGUUGUUCCCCUCCCUGUGUCCAUGUGUUCUAUAGCUGGGUCAUUUCUAAAUAAAAUACUGAAACAUGAAUUGUUAAACAG
rnacentral:lncRNA from 1 species